rnacentral:lncRNA from 1 species
AUCAACUCUUCUUUUUUUCAGAAAUGUUCUGCAGGCUGAGGCUUUUGGAUUUCUGAAGGCUUUUUGUCUGGCAUAUAGGUCUUCAGAGCAAAAAAUAAGGCAGAAUGGGUCUGUGUUCUUACAUGUUCAAGUUUGUUGACUUGCCAUCAGUUUGCUGUGACAACAAAGGAAACUUCCAGGUAGAAGGAUCCCAGGCAAGCCAAAUUGAAAUGGAUCUUAGCGGACAUGCUGGGUGGAUUCUUGCCAGCAGGUUACAAUCUUCAUUGAAAUGACCCCUGAAAAGAUACACCGAAGGUUCAAAAGGCUUAUAGUUUAUUCUUAUUAUCCUGUAGAAGAGAGGUGAGGAACCUUUGGCCUGGAACCUGAAUGUGGUCCUCCAGAUUUUCCAUCUGGCCCUUGAGACUCUCCCCAGAUCAUGCCUCUCACUGUUCCUGCUCCAUGUCUCCCUCAGGUGCUUUUGCCUGACUGGGUACAUCCUUGAAGUGAGGCAGUGCCUGUUGCAUCAGGAGGGAGAGAUAUUGUCAGGGGUUCAGGGACAGAGGCACAGGGUAGGCAGGAGAUGGAGAGCGAUGGGGAUGAAUCCCAGGACAGCGAGGAAGAAGAUGACAAUGACUCAAGAGAUUCCAUGAGUCUUUCCAGCGAAUCAGAGGAUUCCCAGAAGGGGGCGCCGGUGGUCAAGGCCAGGGGAGCCCCAGGGGGAACGUGUCAGGAGCAGGGGGCCAGCGGGGGAUCCCAGAGUGGCAGCUGGGCAUCAGGACCAGCCUCCCCGCCAGAGUGCAGCGAAGGGGGUGGAGGUUCCAGUGUAUCAGGGGAAGCAGCUCCGGCAGCAGAGAAGGGAGGGAGGUCGGAGCAAGCCACCCUCCCGGAAGGGGAGGGGAGUAGUGAAGGGAGUAGUGUAGCUGUCAAAAGGAAGGUUAGAGGUUGGGCGCGCGCGCCAAGUUCAAAUGUGGAGGCGCGCGGAAGUACAGGGAGCCCGGAGGAGGGGCCAGGUCCCAAAGCCCGCAGGAGGGGGGAAGAGCAAUCUGGGGAUUCCGCGUCAGGGGAAUCCAGGAGGGGCGAAACCCCAGCGGGCAGGAAGACCCUGCGGAAAAGGAAAGAGAGGAAGAGGUGGAGCAGCGCAAGCCUCUUAAACUGGUGCAGGGGAGGGACUGACUCAGAGGGGACUUCAACGGUCUAAGUGUAACAGACGUGGGGCUGCGCGCCUCGGAUGUGAAGCAAACAAUGAACUCCAAUAAACACUUUUGUAUAUAAGAAGAAGUUGGCGUUGGUCUUUUGUGAGCUGAGACUUGAGGCAGCCCUGACAGAUAUGUUUCUGGGUAUGAAACCUGUGACUUGUGAAUGGCUGUCAUGAGGCUACAGUACAAAGAUGAGAGUCAAAUCGGUUGCAAAGGGUAAAAGAGUAUUGGGAAAUGAUCCAUAAUGAAUUGGAAAAAAAUGUUUAAAAGUGUCCACCCCCCAAAAAAACACACACACCAGAGUCCUUUCUGUUGGGGAUAAUUCAGACUGAAAUUCCCAGGUGUCAAGAAAGGUUAUUUAUGUACUCAACAACUGUGGCCCAUGUUUUGUUAGCCCCAAAAUGGAAAAUGAGCGAGGCCCCAACUAAAGAAGAGUGGCAACUUAAGUUGACAGAAUAUGCGCAGCUUGCAUACUUAACAUAUAGAAUAAGAGAACAAGAACAACAAACGUUUAGAGAAGAUUGGAAAAUGUUUAUUGAAUGUAUGGGAAAUAACUGUGUACAGCUGAAAACACUGGCAGCAUUAAGAUAAAUUCAACAGUGUAAAUAAGUUAUGAUGGGUGUAAUAAUGGAAUACUGAAAGGUAUAGUUUCUGUAAAAUAUGCAGGGAUUUAUGACAUGUAAAAUGAACCAUGGAAAGAGAAGGGAAGUCACUGAUAUCUUAAGGAUGUGUAAAUGAGUAUUUUAAACUGUAAAACAG